UUCGAUGACACGACGUAAACCUUACCUACCUUGACAUCGCCGACGGAACCCUGCUGAGAGGUGGGGUGCUCGAAAGAGAGCCUGGACACAGGUGCUGCAUGGCUGUCGUCAGCUCGUGUCGUGAGAUGUUGGGUUAAGUCCCGCAACGAGCGCAACCCUUGUCAUUAGUUGCCAUCAUUUAGUUGGGCACUCUAAUGAGACUGCCGGUGACAAACCGGAGGAAGGUGGGGAUGACGUCAAGUCCUCAUGGCCCUUAUGGGUAGGGCUUCACACGUCAUACAAUGGUCGGUACAGAGGGUUGCCAAGCCGCGAGGUGGAGCCAAUCCCAGAAAGCCGAUCGUAGUCCGGAUCGUAGUCUGCAACUCGACUACGUGAAGUCGGAAUCGCUAGUAAUCGUGGAUCAGAAUGUCACGGUGAAUACGUUCCCGGGUCUU
rnacentral:rRNA from 1 species